CGAAUAACGCCCCUGCUCCUCUCCUCCAGGAGAGCUCGGAGCUCCUCGUCAUCGUAGAAUGGAAUUCCGCUGUCGCUGUCCUGCUGAGCUUCCCUCCGGCCCUCCGUUUGUCACACCUGUUCCUUAGGAGUGCCUGUUCGCUGCAGCUCUGGGUCGAGGAUCUGGAGGCAUGCUCUCCUCAUCAAAUGCCAGCGAUCGUCGUGAUGAGGAGUGGAAAUUUCCUGAGCCUGGGAUCUGAGCUUAGGGUUCAGAAACCGCCGCAAGGCUCUGCAGAUCACCCAAGUUCUGUCUGCAUUCUGCAAGAACCGAGGCUGCCCUUGUCCUCCUUGCACCCACACCUGACUUCCUCCAGUGUGGAGAGGCUCUUGGGCUCCCGGAUGACUCUCCCCGACCCACCAGGGACGGAAUUAUGUCUGGGGAAAAGAAACAAUGGAAAUGUCAGGCCCCUGCCCCUCAGCGCGCCUCCCAGGCUCGGACUGGGUGUUCCCCACUGCGCACUGUGGCGCUGUGCAGUGAGCACCGUGACAGCAGACACGUGAGCGGCUUCCCGGCUUGGUCACAUCUCCGCAGAGGGAUCAGCCUCGACCUAGACCCCUGAAAUCCUAAAUCUCUGCAAUCCAGAGCCGUGUAGGCGCCACCACGGCACCCCGAGUGGAAAAUUCUGCGGCUGACUUCAUGGAGUUGGGUCACAGGCUCCUGCGGCGCACGAGGGGU
rnacentral:lncRNA from 1 species